GGCGGCGUGCCUAACACAUGCAAGCGUACGGAAAGUUGGCUUCGGCCGAUGAGUAAAGUGGCGCACGGGUGAGUAAUGCGUGGAUAAUCUAGCCCUUUAAGUUGGGAAUAACGGUACCGAAAGGUGCGCUAAUACCUGGAUAAUACUGGCAUAACUACUGGUUGUGUAGUCAAAGAAGGCCUCUGUUUACAAGCUUUUGCUGAAGGAUGAGUCCGCGUACCAGUUAGCUGGUUGGUGGGGUAAUGGCCUACCAAGGCUACGAUGGUUAGCUGGUCUGAGAGGAUGAUCAGCCACACUGGAACUGAGACACGGUCCAGACUCCUACGGGAGGCAGCAGUGAGGAAUAUUGCGCAAUGGGGGCAACCCUGACGCAGCAACGCCGGCGUGAGUGAGGAAGGUUUUCGGACCGUAAAGCUCUGUCGAGCGGGAAGAAAUGUAUCAUGGUCUAAUAUCCGUGAUAUUUGACGGUACCGGCUAGAGGAAGCACCGGCUAACUCCGUG
rnacentral:rRNA from 1 species